rnacentral:lncRNA from 1 species
CAGCAGAGUGUUUCUAGCAUCUGUGUGGUCAAAGUAUAAUAAUGUUGCUUUUUAGAUGUUCCUGUCUUAGGACUUGCGCUCUCCCAGGGGUCAAGGGAGAAGAUAGCCUCAGCUUUGCUCACUCGGAACCCCCAGCCGGGACCUGUCUCAGUUGCUUCCCUCGUCCAUAGUUGAAGCCCAUGAGUGCUCUGUAGUUGGGGCUUAUGGAUGAUGAACCUGUCAUACAGAAUCCGUUGGAACCUGCUCAGAUGGGUCCUGAGAGUUUAAAACAACAAUACUACGAAGAGAGAGCUGGCCCAAGAACAGACUUGAGGAAGAAGGAAAAAUCCACAGCCACUACAGAGAGCCUUUUGUUCACCAG